GCCCCCUUGGCCUAAUGGCUAAGGCGCAAGAGUGCGUAUCUUGAGAUUGCCGGUUCGAGUCCGGCAGGGGGUG
rnacentral:tRNA from 3 species